GAAAGUAAGUAAGAGCGUAUGGUGGAUGCCUUGGCUCUCAGAGGCGAUGAAGGACGUGACAAGCUGCGAUAAGCUUCGGGUAGCUGCAAAUAAGCUAUUAUCCGGAGAUUUCCGAAUGGGGCAACCUGGUAUUUUGAAGAAAUACCAUUCCAAUUUAUUGGAAAGCUAACCCGGUGAACUGAAACAUCUAAGUAGCCGGAGGAAAAGAAAACAAUAGUGAUUCCCUAAGUAGUGGCGAGCGAACGGGGAAUAGCCUAAACCAACAUUGUUACGGCAAAGUUGGGGUUGUAGGACUACAAUGUGGAAUUUAAUUUUAUAGUGGAAGUUGUCUGGAAAGCAACAUCAUAGAAGGUGAUAAUCCUGUACACGAAAUAGAGUUAAUACCUAGUAGUAUCCUGAGUACCGCGGGACCGGUGAAAUCCUGUGGGAAUCUGCCAGCACCAUCUGGUAAGGCUAAAUACUCCUGAGAGACCGAUAGUGAACAAGUACCGUGAGGGAAAGGUGAAAAGUACCCUGAACAAGGGAGUGAAAUAGUACCUGAAACCGUACGCUUACAAGCGGUCGGAGCAGCUUCGUGCUGUGACGGCGUGCCUUUUGCAUAAUGAGCCUACGAGUUACUCCUCUCUAGCAAGGUUAAGUAUCUAAGAUAUGGAACCGAAGCGAAAGCAAGUCUGAAUAGGGCGUUUAGUUAGAGGGGGUAGACGCGAAACUUGGUGAUCUACCCAUGGUCAGGUUGAAAUUUCGGUAACACGAAAUGGAGGACCGAACCCGUUGACGUUGAAAAGUCUUGGGAUGAACUGUGGGUAGGGGUGAAAGGCUAAUCAAACUAAGAAAUAGCUCGUACUCCCCGAAAUGCUUUUAGGAGCAGCCUCGAGGUCGAGUCUUACAGAGGUAGAGCUACUGAUUGGACUAGGGGGCUUCACCGCCUACCAAAUCCUGACAAACUCCGAAUGCUGUAAGAUAUACUCGGGAGUGAGGGCAUGGGUGCUAAGGUCCAUGUCCGAAAGGGAAACAACCCAGACCAUCAGCUAAGGUCCCUAAAUAUAUGCUAAGUUGUUCUAACGAGGUUCGAUUGCACUGACAGCUAGGAUGUUGGCUUGGAAGCAGCCAUUCAUUUAAAGAGUGCGUAACAGCUCACUAGUCGAGCGAUCGAGCAUGGAUGAUAAUCGGGCAUAAGCAUAUUACCGAAGCUAUGGUUCCAACGUUUACGUUGGAAGGUAGGGGAGCAUUCCAGUUGCGCCGAAGAUGAAUCGCGAGAUUUGUUGGAGCGGCUGGAAAAGCAAAUGUAGGCAUAAGUAACGAUAAUGCAGGCGAGAAACCUGCACACCGUAAGACUAAGGUUUCCUGAUCAACGCUAAUCGGAUCAGGGUUAGUCGGGUCCUAAGGCGAAUCCGAACGGAGUAGUCGAUGGACAACUGGUUAAUAUUCCAGUACUAGCAUAUACUGCGAUGGGGUGACGAAGUAGUGAAAGAUCUGCGUACUGACGGAAUAGUACGUUGAAAACUGUAGGUAUAUAAAAUGGUUAAUAGCUAUUUUAUGCUGAAGGUUGAUAGUACCACAAGUCUUCGGAUGAGUGGAUAAUGAUCCUAAUCAGACUUCCAAGAAAAACCUCUAAGCUUCAGGUAUAUGCUACCCGUACCGUAAACCGACACAGGUAGUCGAGGAGAGUAUCCAAAGGUGCUCGAGUGAUUCAUGGCUAAGGAACUAGGCAAACUUGUCCUGUAACUUCGGGAGAAAGGACGCCACGUUUCGGCGUGGCCGCAGAAAAAUGACCCAGGCGACUGUUUAUCAAAAACACAUGGCUUUGCAAAAUCGAAAGAUGAAGUAUAAGGCCUGACACCUGCCCGGUGCUGGAAGGUUAAGAGGAGGUGUUAUUUCCCGAUUUCCAUUGGGAGAGAAGCUCUGAAUUGAAGCCCCAGUAAACGGCGGCCGUAACUAUAACGGUCCUAAGGUAGCGAAAUUCCUUGUCGG
rnacentral:rRNA from 1 species